CAUCUGCUUAUUUUGUUCUCUUUGUCAAUAAUGUUUUUGGUCUGUUAGGCAGCAGUACCUGGCAUUCUUGAGCAAACUGAUGAGGUUUUUUUUUCAAGAGAAUUAUCAACAUAUUGAAGCAGACCUCAGAUAUUUGUUGUGAUAGGAUGAAGGAGAUCCCUUGUAUCUCUUCCCCGCACAAGCCAGAGGGAUCGAUGGCUCUAGUGAUGAAAUUGAAUCUCUUACCACUGGAAGAUAUCAGUGAUGAUAUUGACAUCUGCUUCAAACUGGCGAGAGAGGAAUCUGUCAUCAUUCUUCCAGGUUAGAAAUGAACAGUUAAGCAUACGAAUUAGCCUUUUUAUAGCUCAUGCCUUGAAAGAAAAUCAAAUUGUCUGUCCUGAAGCUUCUGAUUUCUUGAAAAUGAUGUUAUCAGACUCAAAGUGAUUGAUCCCAAUACCACAAAGCGAGAGCGAGUAAACAAGUAGAUUUUUAUAUCCCUUGUUGAUAAUCUUCCUCCAACCCUCUGUUUCCAUGAAUAGAUUGACAAUAUUUUGGUUUAAGAACCAGUAGCCCUCCUGCCAGAAGCUGGUUGUUGCUUGCGUCCCAGCUGAUGUUAGUAUUCAAGACAUGUAUCAUGGCGGUGAGCCAUUAACCGAGUUGCAAGUGACAAAUUUGAAAACAUUGCUGCGAAA